rnacentral:tRNA from 1 species
CAGAUUGUAGCUUAUAAUUCAAAGCUUGUUUUUUACGUUAAUAUGAAAAUGUUAUUCAUUCUAUCUGA